UACGGGGGGGGCAAGCGUUGUUCGGAAUUACUGGGCGUAAAGGGCUCGUAGGCGGCCAACUAAGUCAUACGUGAAAUCCCCCGGCUUAACCGGGGAACUGCGUCUGAUACUGGAUGGCUUGAGUUCGGGAGAGGGAUGCGGAAUUCCAGGUGUAGCGGUGAAAUGCGUAGAUAUCUGGAGGAACACCGGUGGCGAAGGCGGCAUCCUGGACCGAUACUGACGCUGAGGAGCGAAAGCCAGGAGAGCAAACGGG
rnacentral:rRNA from 1 species